CCGCUCCUCACACACCCGGAACCUCAGGGACUGACCGGUCCACGUCCGGGUCUGACCAGUUAUUGAGCACCUCACCAUGUCCCAGGCCUGUGCUGUCAUCCGGAAUGGAGAAAAUAAAAGAUCGUCUACCGUUUCUACUGAAUGCCACUAAAAGAGAGAACUAAAAACAGUCAUGGAUUUCAGAAUAGUGAGGACGCUGCACCUAAAACUACGGGCACAAGGAAGCCGCCUAGAUGCGGAGAGAUCAGAUCGGCGCUCAGCGCCGGCACUCCUGGGGGCUCCCCGUGACCCCUCAACGCCCCCCCACCCCGACACACACCCCAGGAGAGGCUGGCCUACAGCGCGGGACCGCCCACCCACAAAAGAAACACAC